UGUAGCUCUGGUGGUAGAGCACUUCCCAAGUGGUAGAGCCCUUGAGUUCAGUAACUGGUAUCAAAAGGAAAAUUCUUCAGUGGUUACAUAAUAGUGUUUCAGAAACAAGUAUAAUAAUGAUGUCUAACUCAUUCCACCAUCAUUUCCUCUUUCCUCCCCUUUGCCCUAUCUAAAGUUUCCUCACCUCCCAUGCUCCCCUCCAUCACCAUUAUGAGUCAGCAUCCUCAUAUCAAAGAAACAUUCGGCCUUUGGUUUUUUGGGAUUGGCUUGCUUUACUUAGCAUUAUAUUCUCCAACUCCAUCCAUUUACCUGCAAAUACUCAAUGUUCCACUGUGUGUAUAUAUACCAAAGCUUUCCUAUCCAUCUACUGAAGGGUGUCUGGGUUGGUUCCAUAAUUUAGCUCUUGUAUCUCACUGUAGUUUUGAUUUACAUUUUUUUUGAUAAGCAAGCAUUUUUUCACGCCUUUGUAUUUUUUUUAAUAGAAUUUUUAAUAUUUUUUUCCGCGGACACAUCAUCUUUAUUUGUAUGUGGUGCUGAGGAUCGAACCCAGCGCUGUGCUUAUGGCAGGCGAGUGCACUACCACUUGAGCCAUAUCCCCAGCCCUACCAUUCAUAUUUCUUUGGAGAAAUAUCUUCAAAUAAUUUCUUUUAAAAAUUGUUUUUUAUUAUUUUAUUCCUGAUUAGUGAUAUUUUACUUUUUGAAUUCCAUAUGUCUCCUGGGUAUUGAUCCUUUUUAGGGUGUGUAGCAGAUACGUUCUCUCCCAGUCUGUGGGUUGUCUCCUCCCUACGGCACCUCGGUUGUUUGUCAAUGUUUGCUUUUGCUUCCUAAAAAUUUUUUGCUUCAAAAAAUUAUUGCCUGC
rnacentral:lncRNA from 1 species